CAGGGAGACAACAAAAUGUUUAAUAUUAUUAUUUUGUCACCUUAGGUCGAUCGGUAUCUCACAUUUUUAAUUUAUUAAGAAUUUCAUUUCCUAAGUUUUUCUAGGUCACACCCAUUAUUUUUCCUGGGCCAUUAGCUCAGGUGGUUAGAGCGCACCCCUGAUAAGGGUGAGGUCCCUGGUUCAAGUCCAGGAUGGCCCAUAUCUCUAUGUUGGGGGUAUAGCUCAGUUGGUAGAGCGCCUGCUUUGCAAGCAGGAUGUCAGCGGUUCGAGUCCGCUUACCUCCACUGAUUACCACCUCUUCCAUAACCGGUAGAAAGGAAAUGUUUUGAGUUGUGAUCGAAUUCUGAAAGAAUCUAGCUUCCUAAUGAAAUCAUUAAGAUGCUGGACUCAUUGAAUUAAUUUCAUUGUUUUCAGAGAACCUUGACAACUGCAUAGAUUAUUUUUAAAGACAAUAAGCAUCUUUAAUGAUGCAGAUUUAUUAUUUGUGCGAAUGCAUUAAUAACAAUUCUAUUAAGCUGAUGCUUCAAUUUUUGAAGUUAUU
rnacentral:tRNA from 1 species